rnacentral:sRNA from 1 species
ACUCAACGUUAAUUCUUUAAAAAGGGUGAGUUUAAGCUGUAAGACCGAGCUGCCUCUGAGUAGAGGGUCGAUCAGUUUGUUAGCCCUAAACUUGUUUUUAAGGAGUUU